AGAGUGAGAGGAAUAAUCCCGUUUCCUUGGCAGAGGAUGUGUAGAGUAAUAAAGAGCUCUUUCUGACUAAACCCUACAGACCAUAAGCCUCCUGAGUACUGAGAUAAUGGGUAUGCCUCGCCAAACCUGGCAGCUACUAUGUUUGAAUGAGUGUUCAGGUGGGAAGAUCCUUUGGCCUGGUAGAGCAUAGCACUGGCAAUCCAUCUAGACCAGCUGGUUGUGCAUUGAUUCAUUCUUAGCCGGAAACAGACCCUAGAGGAGACAGAAGAGCGAUAGUGUCUCAUCGCCCGCCCAUCACAGGAGUGAAUGAAACAGAACAAAGGGAAACAUUCUUCCCACCUCACUCUGGCAGAUGGCAGAGGUCAAGUUUGACAGUUACCAGAGCUGACAAUUCCUUCAUGAUGCAAUUUCAGGAGGAAAAAAAGGACCCUGACCAGGGACCAACAGGGAUGCUCUAUUCCUGUGCAUUCAACAGAGUCAUUUCCUGCACAGCAUUAGCUGUCCCGGGGAAUGCUGUGGAGUAAGCUGGAAACGAGGACAGAGCUCU
rnacentral:lncRNA from 1 species